rnacentral:rRNA from 1 species
AUACGGAGGGUGCAAGCGUUACUCGGAAUCACUGGGCGUAAAGCGCGCGCAGGCGGCCAUUUAAGUUGGAUGUGAAAGCCUACGGCUCAACCGUAGAACUGCAUCCAAAACUAUUUGGCUAGAGUGUGGGAGAGGAAGAUGGAAUUAGUUGUGUAGGGGUAAAAUCCGUAGAGAUAACUAGGAAUACCAAAAGCGAAGGCAAUCUUCUGGAACAUUACUGACGCUGCGGCGCGAAAGCGUGGGGAGCAAACAGGAUUAGAAACCCCGGUAGUCC